UACUUCUGACAUUCUAUGCAUUUCAACUAUGGGAAACCAUUUGAAAGUCGAGCUGGGGAAUUCACUAAAUCAGUUAAGCCCAAUUAGAGGAAGCCCUACUUACUGAGUGGAAGGAAUCUCCCUUCUCUGAGAAUAUCAAAAGAGUUUCCAUCUUUGAGGUAUUUUUUAUUCAGGAGCUGCCCCCACAAUCCUGAUCAGGAAGAGGAGCAAGAAGAUAAGGGUGGAUAUGUUGAGCCUGCACCAGUUGACCUGUUUCUUCACUUACCUCAUUAAUCACCUAGUGGGAAUUUGGCCAGCUGCACCAAUGGGCAUUGAAUUCAAGUGCGCACAACUUGAGAAGCACCCAGUGGAGCAUGGAGCGAAAAAGACGGAACCUGCAGGUGGCCUCUCAGAAUACUAAAGAAGAUUAUCUCUAGCCAAUACACUGAGAUCUCUGGGGCAAAUCUAGCCAGACAAGCUGAUCUCUCCAUUGAAUGUCUAAGUGGCUUACCUCUGAGAAGAGUCAUAUAACCACAAGUUGUUUCUCCAAAGUUGAUCUGCUCCUGGGAAAUAAAAGUCUCAUAAUUUCAAUAAAAUACCUGUCA
rnacentral:lncRNA from 1 species